UUUAUACGACCGCAAAAAUUAAAAAUGUUUUGGUCGUAUAUUGGUAUGACGUUGGCGUCGUCGUCGUCGUCGUCGUCGUCGUUGUCGUCGUCGUCGUCGUCGUCGUUGUCGUCGUCGUCGUCGUCGUCGUCGUCCGGCGUCGUCCGGCGUCGUCCGAAGACACAUUGGUUUUCGCACUCUAACUUUAGUUUAAGUGAAUGGAUCUCCAUGAAAUUUCACCAUAAGGUUCAAUACCACAAAAGGAAGGUUGGGAUUGAUUUUGGGGGUUAUGGUACCAACAGUUAAGGAAUUAGGGGCCAAAAAGGGGCCAAAAAUAAGCAUUUUUGUAACUUUCAGACAAUAACUUGUGUGUAAGUGUAUGGAUCUCUCUGACAUUGUACCACAAGGUUCCAUAUCACAAAGGGAAGGCUGUAAUUGAUUUUGGGGGUAAUUGCCUCAAAAUUUUAGGAACAAGGGGCCAAAAAAGGGGCAAAAAACAAGCAUUUUUCUAGUUUCAUGACAAUAACUUGUGUGUUAGUGUUUGGAUAUUUCUGAAAUUGUACUACAAGGUUCCAUAUCACAAAGGGAAAGCUGGAAUUGAGUUUGGGGGUAAUUGCCCGAAACGUUUUGGAAUUGGGGGCCAAAAAGGGGCCAAAAAUAAGCAUUUUUCUAGUUUCCAGACAAUAACUUGUGUUCAAGUGUAUGGAUCUCUCUGAAAUUGUACUGCAAGGUACCAUACCACAAAGGGAAGGCUGGGAUUGAGUUUGGGGGUGAUGAAUCAUAAGGGGGUUCAAAAAAUUUGGGGGGGGGAUUUUUUUUUUUUUUUUUUUUCUUUUUUUCCUUUUUUUUUUUCUUUUAAAAUUUUCCAUUUUAAGUUGGUUAUUUCUGAUUUAUAUUUAAAAGCAAAUAAUAAUGAUAUGGUAGGAGAUACACACCAAACAGGAUGUGUAAAUUAUUAUAUAAUAAGUAUUGUGCAAUAGCAAGAAAUUUUCAAUUGCACAGUAUUGCACAAUAGCAAGAAAUCUUCAAUUGCACAGUAUUGCGCAAUAGCAAGAAAUCUUCAAUUUAACAGUAUUGCGCAAUAGCAAGAAAUAUCCAAUAGCACAAUAUUGCGCAAUAGCAAGAAAUUGUCAAUUGUACAGUAUUGCGCAAUAGCAAGAAAUAUUCAAUUGCACAGUAUUGUGCAAAAGAAGAUACUUCGUAUAAAUUGCUUAUUUCUUGAUCAAUUUCAAUGGGGUUUUAUUCUUGAAUUCUUGGGGUUCUUUAAUAUGCUGAAUCUAACCGUGUAUUAAGUUUUUGGAUUUUGGGCCCCGUUUUUAAAUUGGUCCACAUUGAGGUCCAAAGGGUCCAAAAUUUAACUUUGUUUGAUUUCAUCAAAAAUUGAAUUAUUGGGAUUCUUUGAUAUGCCGAAUCUAACCGUGUAUUUAGAUUCUUAAUUUUUGGUUCCGUUUUCAAAUUGGUCUACAUUAAGGCCAAAAGGGUCCAAAAUUAAACUUAGUUUGAUUUUAACAAAAAUUGAAUAUAUGGGGUUCUUUGAUAUGCUGAAUCUAACCAUGUAUUUAGAUUUUUGAUUUUUGGGCCCCGUUAUCAACUUUGUCCACAUUGAGGUCAAAAGGGUCCAAAAUUAAACUUUGUUUGAUUUCAUCAAAAAUUGAAUUCUUGGGGUUCUUUGAUAUGCUGAAUCUAACCAUUUAUUUAGAUUUUUUAUUUGUGGACCUGCUAUCAAAUUGGUUCAUAUUGAGGUCAAAAGGGUCCAAAAUUAAACUUUGUUUGAUUUCAUAAAAAAUUGAAUUAUUGGGGUUCUUUGAUAUUCCAAAUCUAACCGUGUAUUUAGAUUUUUAAUUUUGGGUCCCGUUUUUAAAUUGGUCUACAUUAAGGUCCAAAGGGUCCAAAAUUAAACUUAGUUUGAUUUUAACAAAAAUUGAAUUCUUGGGGUUCUUUGAUAUGCUGAAUCUAAACAUGUGUUUAGAUUUUUGAUUAUGGGCCCAGUUUUCAAGUUGGUCCAAGUUGGGGUCCAAAAUUAAACUUUGUUUGAUUUCAACAAAAAUUGAAUAUAUGGGGUUCUUUGAUAUGCUGAAUCUAAACAUGUAUUUAGAUUUUAGAUUUUUGGCCCAGUUUUCAAGUUGGUCCAAAUUGGGGUCCAAAAUUAAACUUUGUUUGAUUUCAACAAAAAUUGAAUAUAUGGGGUUCUUUGAUAUGCUGAAUCUUACCAUGUAUUUAGAUUUUUUUUUGUGGGCCCGCUAUCAAAUUGGUUCAUAUUGAGGUCAAAAGGGUCCAAAAUUAAACUUUGUUUGAUUUCAUCAAAAAUUUAAUUAUUGGGGUUCUUUGAUAUGCCAAAAUCUAACCGUGUAUUUAGAUUUUUAAUUUUGGGUCCCGUUUUUUAAAUUGGUCUACAUUAAGGUCCAAAGGGUCCAAAAUUAAACUUAGUUUGAUUUUAACAAAAAUUGAAUUCUUGGGGUACUUUGAUAUGCUGAAUCUAAACAUGUGUUUAGAUUUUUGAUUAUGGGACCAGUUUUCAAGUUUGUCCAAAUCGGUGUCCAAAAUUAAACUUUGUUUGAUUUCAACAAAAAUUGAAUAUAUGGGGUUCUUUGAUAUGCUGAAUCUAACCAUGUAUUUUGAUUUUGGACAUUGGACCAUAAUAGGUAAAUUAAAAAAAUUGAAGUUCUUAGACCACAUUCUUUCUGUGUCAGAAACCUAUGCUGUGUCAAAUAUUUAAUCACAAUCCAAAUUCAGAGCUGUAUCAAGCUUGAAUGUUGUGUCCAUACUUGCCCCAACUGUUCAGGGUUCGACCUCUGCGGUCGUAUCAAGCUGCGCCCAGCGAAGCAUUUUAUUUUAAAUUUGUCUA